UACGUAGGGACCGAGCGUUGUCCGGAAUUAUUGGGCGUAAAGAGCUCGUAGGCGGUUUGUCGCGUCUGCUGUGAAAUCCCGAGGCUCAACCUCGGGCCUGCAGUGGGUACGGGCAGACUAGAGUGUGGUAGGGGAGACUGGAAUUCCUGGUGUAGCGGUGAAAUGCGCAGAUAUCAGGAGGAACACCGAUGGCGAAGGCAGGUCUCUGGGCAUUAACUGACGCUGGAGGAGCGAAAGCAUGGGGAGCGAACAGG
rnacentral:rRNA from 1 species